GAUGAAGAACGUAGCGAAAUGCGAUAAGUAAUGUGAAUUGCAGAAUUCAGUGAAUCAUCGAAUCUUUGAACGCACAUUGCGCCCCUUGGUAUUCCGAGGGGCAUGCCUGCUCGAGCGUCAUUUCACCACUCAAGCCUGGCUUGGUGUUGGGCGACGUCCUCUUUGGGGACGCGCCUCGAAACGCUCGGCGGCGUGGCACCGGCUUUAAGCGUAGCAGAAUCUUUCGCUUUGGAAGUCGGGGCCCCGUCUGCCGGAAGACCUGCUCGCAAGGUUGACCUCGGAUCAGGCAGGGAUACCCGCUGAACUUAAGCAUAUCAAUAAGCGGAGGA
rnacentral:misc_RNA from 1 species